rnacentral:lncRNA from 1 species
AAACACAGCUUGGAUCUUUAGUUUACUUGUUAGUUGUAAUCAAUAUGGAACUCAAAUUAUGGGUUCUAAUAGUGUUCUUGUCUAUGUCGGUUACAACUAUCAAUGCUCAACUUCUGCCAUGCAUAAGACUUCCCAUACUUGGCAUACCAAUAUUUUGUCGUUCUCCUCCACCACCACCUAGGUCUCCGCCACCACCAUCACCAUCUCCACCUCCUCCAUCUCCGCCACCACCCCCAACCCUUCCUCCUCCGCCAACUUCACCACCUCCCCCUCCGCGUUCACUUAUUUGCUCGAUAUUACCUCUCCCAUUACUUUGCCCAACCCCACGGGCACCACCCUCCACCUCCGCGUAGUCCACUUCUUUGCACAGUAUUACCUCGCGCAAUAUUUUGCCCAUCCCCAACAUCACCUGUCUGAUUGAUCUAUAUGCUCAGUUUCUAUCACACUAAAAAGUGCCAUUGUUGCUUUCCAACCCUCUCUAUCUACAAUAAUUAUUUUCCUAUGCACGUUAAAUAAUAAAUUUCCUUAUUAAUUAGUAAUUUUUCUUCGAUGGAAAAAUUACUAGAUAAUAAGUGUCCAACCAUCAAGAUCAACAUUCGUAGCAACCUUCUUCGGGAAACUAAGUUUUCACCCAUGGAAUCGCGUCUCAACUCCAGAAGACAUCAAAAUUUGUAGUUGUAGACAAUGCUAUUUUUAUGGGAUGAAAUAGUUAAUUUUAGAGGAUGUUUGGAUUAUGUUGAUGUUGUUGUACUCGUAUAUGUAAUAAAUAAAAUUGUGCAUUGUCAUGAAAAAAUUGAUCAUCUUGUUCAUUUUCUCAAGUUAUAUGUGUUAUAUUGACAAUUUCAUGCUUACCUCUAUUUAUAUAAAUUAUGGCAAUAGUGUUUUUUUGAAAGUUUAAAUAGCUCAUAACUUUGCACAAUUUAGAACGAGGAAAACCUAUUUGUGGAUUAUUAAUGAGCAUAUAAAAUAUUAUAUCUUUUUAUCUAUAAAAUAAUUAAAUUAUUCUUCUACUGAUAACCAAACACAAAAUUAAAAUUAUUACACGAGCACGUCUUUACAUUCUUCACAAGUAUGUACACUAUGUUUUGAACAAAUGGUGUUUUGGACUUCUAAGUAAAAAAAAUUAAUAUUUACCUUCCCAAACUUGAUAUAAGUUCUCUCAGCAAUAAUAUAUAUUGUAAUUAUUAGAUUCCAUGUAAUUAUUAGGGUAAAUUACAACCAACCCCCUGAGGUGUGGUCAAAUUACGAAAACCCCCCUCUUGUUUGGAUAAUUACAACCACCCCCUCAACUCCUCAAAUUUAGUGGAAUCUUCGAGAUUAUAUGGAAUAUUAUCACUUUUGUACCCGUUUUAUCCCAUUCGAACUCUACAUUUUGAAGCAAGAUGAUCAUAAUAUGUGUUUUUUGGCUUGUAAAUAUCAGAUUGUGGUGCAUCAGAAACUAUAUUUUCACACAAAACGAGUACAAACUAGAGCACAUUCCACGAAAUCUAGAUGAUUAUGUUGAAUUUGACACCAUAAGGGUGGAUGUGUAAGAAAAAAAUCAUAGUUGAGGGGGUAGAUGUAAUUAUGCAAACAAGAGGGGUUUUUUUGUAAAUUGACCAUACGUCAGGGGGGUGUUUGUAAUUUACCCUAAUUAUAAUAAGGUGGUCAGUAAUUGAUAAUUAGCGUACAAUGAAUGUAAAGAUAUCACGUUCAUAAUAAAUAAGUUAAAACUUAAAAAUGAAGGUGAUGUUUGGAAAAGCUUAUUUAAAAGCAUAAGUUAGUAAUUGCUUAAGUUGAUAUUAAGUGCUUAAUUUUUAAAGUUGGGGUGUUUGUAAAAAAUCUGGAAAUUAACUAAAAUAGAAAAAGUAGGUACAUGGGUGCUGUUAAAAUUAUCGCUUAAAGCAGCUUAUUUUAAAAGAAGCAAAAGCAAAAGUCAAUUUUACAAACACUUAAAAACAAAUUAUAUGAGAAAAAAAGCUCGUAAUCUAUUAUUAAAAACUUUUGCAAGCACCACUGAAGUAUCUUUUAAAAUAAGUUCGUUAAAAGGAUAAACUAAAUGACCAAUUUUUUUUCCUUAGUGGCAAAAAUAUAUGUUAUGUUUGGGGGCAAACAAAAAGGAUAAAUAAGGAAAUCACAUCCCCUAAAUAUGUAUGUUAUGUUUGGGGGCAAAGAAAGCACAUAUUGGAGAUACUCCAUUGUGCUCUUUCUUUUUUAAAAACUAAAUCCAUUAUAUUAUCUCUCUUAGAUAUACCUACAGUUGGAAACUGCUACGAAAUUUUCGAUUUCCGUUGAUUCCGAUUUGAUUUUGGAGCACAAAAUUUUGUUAUGUUUUUUCUAGAUAUAUACGGAUCGGAGUCAGAAUUAUGUAUGAAAUGUUCGGAAAUUCCGAUUGAUCACUAUAGUGGUCAAAUCAUGUCGAAAACAGAGAAACCAAGUGAUAAAAUUAUUUUUCCAAAAUAUUUACAAGUCAAAUUUCAAAAGCUUAAAAAUAAGGACAUUUAUAUUUGUGUAGAAGACAUUCAAAAUUUAGGCCGAACUUUGUUCAUAAAACAUUCGAGUUGUAAUAAGUAUGAACAAUUAAUUUGAAUGCAUGCAUGAACUUGAUAUAUAAUAUAGCUCUAGAUAUUUAUUGUUGGCAUAUUAAUUAUGUCAACGAAGUUUUAAAUGCCCAUGCCGCAAGCUCCUUAAUUUGACUCAAGAAUUUACUUAAUACAACUUACUCAUCUAGCGUCAUACCCCACACACAAGUUGUCAAAACCUUAAAUGAAAUAUUUAUGCUUGAAUACUUUAAAAAAUGGGUAAAUUCCACUUUCUCCCAACCUUAAAUGAAAUAUUUAAGCGUGAAUACUUCAAAAAAUCGGUAAAAUUUCAUUUUCUCUCUUGUACUUUGUCUCGAUAUCACUUUACCCUAUUCUACUCUCGAUUGCAUCGAUUUUCUCUCAUGUACUUAAAAAUUUGUCUCAAUGUGGCCCUGGCCAUUACUUUUCAGAUCUUUGUCCUUAACACCGUUUGAUAUCUAAUUCUGAAAAUUACAAAAAAAAAGUCACCCCUCCUAGUUAAAAUAAUUAUUAAAAAAAGGGUAAAUUACAAACACCCCCUGAGGUAUGGUCAAAUUACAAAAAUACCCCUCUUGUUUGGAUAAUUACAACCAUCCCCUUAACUCCUCAAAUUUAGUGGAAUCUUCGAGAUUAUAUGGAAUAUUAUCACUUUUGUACUCGUUUUAUCCCAUUCAAACUCUACAUUAUGAAGCAAGAUGAUCAUAAUAUGUGAUUUUUAGCUUGUAUAUAUCAGUUUGUGGUGCAUCGGAAACUGUAUUUUUACACAAAACGAGUACAAACUAGAGCAGAUUUCACAUAAUCUAGAUGAUUAUGUUGAAUUUGGCACCAUAAGGGUGGAGGUGUUAGAAAAAAUCAUAGUUGAGGGGUAGAUGUAAUUAACCACACAAGAUUAUUUUUUUUAAUAAUUAUUUAAAUUGGGAGAGGUGUUUGUAAUUUUAGAGCUUAGAUCAAACGGUGUUAAUAUCAAAUGUCUGACAAUUAACAGAAUUGACCACAUUGAGACAAAUUUUCAAGUACUAGGGGAUAAAUCAAUGUAAUCGAGAGUAGAAGGGAGGUAAAGUAAUACCAAGCCAAAGUAUAAUGGGGUGAGUGGAAUUUACCCUUAAAAAAUUACUAGUGUAAUCAAUUAUUCUAAUUUUUAAUAUAAUUACUUUAAGUGACACUCGUACUGAAUAUUAACAUUAAAUCAAAUAUAAUUCCUCUAAGUGAAACUCGUAACUAAUAUUAACAUUAAUGUAAAACUAAAAUGAUCGAAUCCAAUGUGUCAUUCCACUAUUGAAUUUAUUAUUGGUUUCACAAAUUGGAAAAUUUUCAUUCUAUAAUUUAGAUUUUCAUUUAGAUAAAAUAAAGGGCAAAUUACGGCCACCCCUGAGCUAUGGUUAAAUUACGAAAACCCUCAUCCUGUUUGGGUAAUUACAGCCACCCCCCUCAACUAUGUAUUUAUCUUACGAAAAGACCCCUCCAGAGGUAAAUUUAGGGAUGUUAAUUCGGUAAAACCGGACCAAAAUUUCGGUACGCCAACAUUUCAUACCGUUUAGCGAACAAAAUAUACGAUUUGGUUGGGUAAAUAACCUAAUUACAUAAAUUUUACGUAAAAAUAUUUAAAAGGAGGGGAUUGCUGUAAUUAUCCAAACAAGAGGGAUUUUUUCGUAAUUUGACCAUACAUCAGGGGUGGCUGUAAUUUGCCCUAAAAUAAAUUUACGGUGAUGCAACAACUUGUAAUCUAUAACAGCGUACCCAAUUCUACUUCACCACACUUGCUUCUAAUAUUCCAAUUUGUCAAUGAAAGAAAUAAUUGAGUUUAUAAUAAAGUGGCCUAACUUUGAUUAAUGAACUAUAACAAACCUAUAUCAAACAAAAAAAUAUGCACAAUCACACUUAAUAUUUCAAGGAUUGCUCACAAAUUGAUGCCUAUAUAUAUGAAUAAAAUUGUCUCUUUUCUAUAACAAACUCAUCUUGUAUAUUUAAUUUGCUUGUUAGCGGUAAUCAAUAUGGAACUCAAAUUAUGGAUUCUAAUUGCUCUGUUGCCGAUGUUGGCUCCAACCAUCAGUGCUCAAAUUCGGCUAUGUGUACCGCUACCUGGCUCACCGUUUCCUUUACCAAUAUUUUGUUCUCCUCCACCACCAGCACCACUUAGGUCUCCGCCACCACCAUCACCACCUCCACCUCCUCGAUCUCCACCACCACCUCCGCCACGUCUUUGCUCAAUACUGCCUCUCCCAAUAAUUUGCCGAUCCCCACCACCACCAGCAACUUCACCAACUUCACCCCCACGUCCACGUCUUUGCACAAUAUUACCUAUCCCAAUAUUGUGUCUAUCCCCACCACCACCACCCGUUGCCUGAUUGAACUAUAUAAUAAACCUCUGUCACCCUAAAAAGUGUCAUUGCUGCUUUUCAACCUUCUCUUUCUAUAAUAAUUAUUUUCCUUUACACGUUAAUUAAUAAAUUUCCUUGUCAAGUAGUAACCUUUCUUCGAUAGAAAAUUUACUAGCUUACAAGCGUCCGAAAAUCAAGAUCAACAUGCCUAGCAACCUUCUUAAAGAAACUAAGUUUUUACACAUGGAAAUCACAUCUUUUAACUCCAUAUUAACAUCAAAAUUUGUAGUUGUAGACAAUGUUAUUUCUAUUGGAUGAACUAGUUAAUUUUAGAGGAUGUUUUGAUUAUCUUGAUGUAGUUGUGCUCGUUAUAUGCAAUAUAAAUAAAAUUGUGCGUUUGUCACGGAAUAUUUGAUCAUCUUGAUUACUUCUUAAUUUAUUAUAUGUUGUGUUGUGGAUAAUUUUACCACAUAUUGCACGUGUUAAUAACAAUAUUAGACAUAUAUAUGUUCAACACAUGUGACAUAAUUGUUG